GGAUCGGACUCCAUGGUGCGGUACCUAAGUAGGGCGGGGCACGAGAAACCCAGUCUGAAUCCGGGUCGACCACGAUCCAAGGCUAAAUACGAGACAGCUACCGACAGAGAAGCAGUACCGUGAGGGAAAGGCGAAAAGAACCCCGGUGAGGGGAGUGAAAGAGAACCUGAAACCACAGACCGACAAGAUGUCACGGCUCGCAAGAGUUGUGGCGUGUCUUUUGUAGAAUAAACCUGCGAGUUGCGUUGCGCGGCGAGGCUAAGGGUUGGAAGAUCCGGAGCCGGAGCGAAAGCGAGUGUGAAAAGUGCGAAAAGUCGCGUGACGCAGACCCGAAGCCAAGGUGAUCUAAUUAUGGGCAGGCUGAAGGCAGGGUGAAACCUGUUGGAGGGCCGAACAGUAAUCUGUUAAAAAAGGUAGUGAUGACCUGUGAUUAGGAGUGAAAGGCUAAACAAACCUGGAAAUAGCUGGCUCUCCCCGAAAUGCCUUUAGGGACAGCCUCAUGCAAAGCGGAAGGAGGUAAAGCACCGGAUGGGAUAGGGGGCGUCACAGUCUACCGACACCAAUCGAACUCAGAAUGCCAUCCGCCAACGCAUGGGAGUGAGACUGUGUGCUCCAAGGUUCAUAGUCGAGAGGGAAACAGCCCGGACCGUCGGCAAAGGUCCCAAAAUAACGCUCAGUGUGAAAUGAGGUGCGUCUGCACAGACAGCCAGGAGGUUGGCUUAGAAGCAGCCAUUCCUUAAAAGAGUGCGUAACAGCUCACUGGUCGAGCAGGCGUGCGCAGACAAUGUAACGGGGCUAAGCGUUAUACCGAAGCCGCGGGUCCGUAUCUUGUGAUGCGGGCGGUAGGGGAGCAUUGCGCUAACCGGCGAAGGCGUACCUGUGAGGGGCGCUGGAGGAAGCGGAAGAGAGAAUGCAGGCACAAGUAACGAAAAGACGGGUGAGAUUCCCGUCCGCCGAAAGCCUGAGGAUUCCCGGGUAAAGGCAAUCUGCCCGGGGUAAGUCGGCCCCUAAGGCGAGGACGAAAGUCGUAGUCGAUGGGAAAUCGGUUCAAAAUCCGAUACCCGGCUCAGUUUUGAAGGCAGGACGCAUGAGGUGAAAUCCGGCAGGAGAACGGUAGUUCCUGUCCAAGCAGUGAGGUGUUGAGAGGGCGGUUAAAAGAGCUCUUGAGCUGAGCUGUUACGGGGAGCGGAGCGCAGGCGAAGCGAAGCGGACGUAAUCAAGGUGCCGGGAAAUACUGUCUAAAGUUAGGCUGAGUCGGACCGUACCGGAAACGGACACACGCAGGCAGGAUGAGUAAUCUAAGGCGCACGAGCGACCCCGCGUUAAGGAACUCGGCAAAAAGCACACGUAACUUCGGAAGAAGUGUGGCUCACGCUGAUAAGGAUGUGAGCGGCAGAAAGCAGGCCCAGGCGACUGUUUAUCAAAAACACAGCCAUCUGCGAACCAGUAAUGGGACGUAUAGGUGGUGACACCUGCCCGGUACCGGAAGGUUAAGGGGAGGGGUUAGCAGCAAUGCGAAGCUCCGAACCGAAGCCCCGGCAAACGGCGGCCGUAACUAUAACGGUCCUAAGGUAGCGAAAUUCCUUGUCGGGUA
rnacentral:rRNA from 1 species